rnacentral:misc_RNA from 1 species
AGCAGCCGCGGUAAUUCCAGCUCCAAUAGCGUAUAUUAAAGUUGUUGCAGUUAAAAAGCUCGUAGUUGAAUUUCGGGAUCAAUAUGUUGGUCGUGCCUCGGUACGUACUAGCUUAUUGGUUUCUCCUUUCUGAAGAACCAUGAUGUCAUUUAUUUGGUGUCGUGGGGAAUCAGGACUGUUACUUUGAAAAAAUUAGAGUGUUUAAAGCAGGCUCACGCUUGAAUACAUUAGCAUGGAAUAAUGAAAUAGGACGUUUGAUUCUAUUUUGUUGGUUUCUAGGAUCGACGUAAUGAUUAAUAGGGAUAGUUGGGGGCAUUAGUAUUCAAUUGUCAGAGGUGAAAUUCUUGGAUUUAUUGAAGACUAACUACUGCGAAAGCAUUUGCCAAGGAUGUUUUCAUUAAUCAAGAACGAAAGUUAGGGGAUCGAAGACGAUCAGAUACCGUCGUAGUCUUAACCAUAAACUAUGCCGACUAGGGAUCGGAUGAUG